AAGGUUAAGCUGAAGAGGCGGAGCCGCAGCGAAAGCGAGUCUGAAUAGGGCGUUUAGUACGUGGUCGUAGACCCGAAACCAGGUGAUCUACCCAUGUCCAGGGUGAAGUUCAGGUAACACUGAAUGGAGGCCCGAACCCACGCACGUUGAAAAGUGCGGGGAUGAGGUGUGGGUAGCGGAGAAAUUCCAAUCGAACCUGGAGAUAGCUGGUUCUCCCCGAAAUAGCUUUAGGGCUAGCCUUAAGUGUAAGAGUCUUGGAGGUAGAGCACUGAUUGAACUAGGGGUCCUCAUCGGAUUACCGAAUUCAGUCAAACUCCGAAUGCCAAUGACUUAUCCUUAGGAGUCAGACUGCGAGUGAUAAGAUCCGUAGUCAAGAGGGAAACAGCCCAGAUCGCCAGCUAAGGUCCCAAAGUGUGUAUUAAGUGGAAAAGGAUGUGGAGUUGCUUAGACAACUAGGAUGUUGGCUUAGAAGCAGCCACCAUUUAAAGAGUGCGUAAUAGCUCACUAGUCGAGUGACUCUGCGCCGAAAAUGUACCGGGGCUAAAUACACCACCGAAGCUGCGAAUUGAUACCAAUGGUAUCAGUGGUAGGGGAGCGUUCUAAGUGCAGUGAAGUCAGACCGGAAGGACUGGUGGAGCGCUUAGAAGUGAGAAUGCCGGUAUGAGUAGCGAAAGACGGGUGAGAAUCCCGUCCACCGAAUGCCUAAGGUUUCCUGAGGAAGGCUCGUCCGCUCAGGGUUAGUCAGGACCUAAGCCGAGGCCGACAGGCGUAGGCGAUGGACAACAGGUUGAUAUUCCUGUACCACCUCUUUAUCGUUUGAGCAAUGGAGGGACGCAGAAGGAUAGAAGAAGCGUGCGAUUGGUUGUGCACGUCCAAGCAGUUAGGCUGAUAAGUAGGCAAAUCCGCUUAUCGUGAAGGCUGAGCUGUGAUGGGGAAGCUCCUUAUGGAGCGAAGUCUUUGAUUCCCCGCUGCCAAGAAAAGCUUCUAGCGAGAUAAAAGGUGCCUGUACCGCAAACCGACACAGGUAGGCGAGGAGAGAAUCCUAAGGUGUGCGAGAGAACUCUGGUUAAGGAACUCGGCAAAAUGACCCCGUAACUUCGGGAGAAGGGGUGCUUUCUUAACGGAAAGCCGCAGUGAAUAGGCCCAAGCGACUGUUUAGCAAAAACACAGCUCUCUGCGAAGCCGUAAGGCGAAGUAUAGGGGGUGACACCUGCCCGGUGCUGGAAGGUUAAGGAGAGGGGUUAGCGUAAGCGAAGCUCUGAACUGAAGCCCCAGUAAACGGCGGCCGUAACUAUAACGGUCCUAAGGUAGCGAAAUUCCUUGUCGGGUAAGUUCCGACCCGCACGAAAGGUGUAACGAUUUGGGCACUGUCUCAACCAGAGACUCGGUGAAAUUAUAGUACCUGUGAAGAUGCAGGUUACCCGCGACAGGACGGAAAGACCCCGUGGAGCUUUACUGUAGCCUGAUAUUGAAUUUUGGUACAGUUUGUACAGGAUAGGCGGGAGCCAUUGAAACCGGAGCGCUAGCUUCGGUGGAGGCGCUGGUGGGAUACCGCCCUGACUGUAUUGAAAUUCUAACCUACGGGUCUUAUCGACCCGGGAGACAGUGUCAGGUGGGCAGUUUGACUGGGGCGGUCGCCUCCUAAAGUGUAACGGAGGCGCCCAAAGGUUCCCUCAGAAUGGUUGGAAAUCAUUCGUAGAGUGCAAAGGCAUAAGGGAGCUUGACUGCGAGACCUACAAGUCGAGCAGGGACGAAAGUCGGGCUUAGUGAUCCGGUGGUUCCGCAUGGAAGGGCCAUCGCUCAACGGAUAAAAGCUACCCCGGGGAUAACAGGCUUAUCUCCCCCAAGAGUCCACAUCGACGGGGAGGUUUGGCACCUCGAUGUCGGCUCAUCGCAUCCUGGGGCUGUAGUCGGUCCCAAGGGUUGGGCUGUUCGCCCAUUAAAGCGGUACGCGAGCUGGGUUCAGAACGUCGUGAGACAGUUCGGUCCCUAUCCGUCGUGGGCGUAGGAAAUUUGAGAGGAGCUGUCCUUAGUACGAGAGGACCGGGAUGGACGCACCGCUGGUGUACCAGUUGUUCUGCCAAGGGCAUAGCUGGGUAGCUAUGUGCGGAAGGGAUAAGUGCUGAAAGCAUCUAAGCAUGAAGCCCCCCUCAAGAUGAGAUUUCCCAUAGCGUAAGCUAGUAAGAUCCCUGAAAGAUGAUCAGGUUGAUAGGUUCGAGGUGGAAGC
rnacentral:rRNA from 1 species